rnacentral:rRNA from 1 species
AUUGAACGCUGGCGGCAGGCCUAUCACUUGCAAGUCGAACGAGUGGCGGACGGGUGAGCAAUGUCUGGGAAUCUGCCUGAUGGUGGGGGAUAACUACUGGAAACGGUAGCUAAUACCGCAUACUAUCCGCUGUGCCCAGAUGGGAUUAUCUAGUAGGUGGGGUAACGGCUCACCUAGGCGACGAUCCCUAGCUGGUCUGAGAGGAUGACCAGCAACACUGGAACUGAGACACGGUCCAGACUCCUACGGGAGGCAGCAGUGGGGAAUAUUGCACAAUGGGCGCAAGCCUGAUGCAGACAUGCCGCGUGUAUGAAGAAGGCCUUCGGGUUGUAAAGUACUUUCAGCGGGGAGGCGUUACCCGCAGAAGAAGCACCGGCUAACUCCGUGCCAGCCGCCGCGGUAAUUC